GACGAACGCUGGCGGCGUGCUUAACACAUGCAAGUCGAACGGAAAGGCCCUGCUUGCAGGGUACUCGAGUGGCGAACGGGUGAGUAACACGUGGGUGAUCUGCCCUGCACUUCGGGAUAAGCCUGGGAAACUGGGUCUAAUACCGGAUAGGAGCCAUUUUUAGUGUGAUGGUUGGAAAGUUUUUUCGGUGUAGGAUGAGCUCGCGGCCUAUCAGCUUGUUGGUGGGGUAAUGGCCUACCAAGGCGGCGACGGGUAGCCGGCCUGAGAGGGUGGACGGCCACAUUGGGACUGAGAUACGGCCCAGACUCCUACGGGAGGCAUCAGUGGGGAAUAUUGCACAAUGGGCGCAAGCCUGAUGCAGCGACGCCGCGUGGGGGAGGACGGCCUUCGGGUUGUAAACUCCUUUCGCUAGGGACGAAGCUUUUUGUGACGGUACCUAGAGAAGAAGCACCGGCUAACUACGUG
rnacentral:rRNA from 1 species